CGAACAGGCCUACUAUUUUAAACGUAUUAACCUCUAACCGAUACGACAAGAUCUUGAACAUGCUUUUCGAUUGAAGAAUUUUGUGAAGAUCAAUUGAUGGAAGACCAGAAUAUUAUAUUCAGGUUAUGUAACUACAUUAUAUAUUCAGUUUAAAAUGGAAACGCGUGAUAAAGUAAGGAAAAGAACGAAGCGAAGCUUUUCGGAUGCUUGGCUCAGCGAUGAUCGAUUUAAGACUUGGAUCCGCAGAGUGUCCUUUGAUGAAAGCCUCUUUCACUGUACGAGAUGUAACAAAAAUUUUUCGUGCUGCUCAUUAUCACAUAUAAUAAGACAUGCGAAAUCUGCGUCUCACAUAAGAAAUGUCGAAAAAGAUACAUCAUUAUGUGAUGAUGAUAAUGUUUCUAAAAGAAAACCACCGCAUAAAAAAAUAUUUAAACAGCGAUGGCUAGAGAUUGAGCAAUUUCAGCCAUGGCUACGCGAAGUGCGAGAUGAUGCAAGUUCAUUUUUUUGUGCUAUUUGUGAUAAAAUUAUUUCCGGCGGUUUGUCACAAAUCUAUCGCCACGCACAAUCCAAAGUACAUAAAGAUAAAUUUGAAAAAUGUAACAUACAAAUGACUGAAUCGACUACGGAAUUAAAAAUGCAAAUUGACGAAUCGCUUUUGCGAUUCGAGGCGCAAAGAAAAUCAGCGGAGAUCCGAUACGCUGCUUUAAUCGCUGACAAAAAUAUUCCACACGAAACUGCGAAAAUGAUACUAAAUUUUUUUCAAGGCAUAGGAGAAAACCCCAACGUAUUGAGAAGCAUGAGCAUGGGUCGAACAAAAUGUACAAACAUAAUCUCCAAUGUUUUGUGUCCUGUAGAAACGACUCGUGUAGUAGGAAACCUUAGAACUACAAAGUUUUCUGUUUUCAUUGAUGAAAUAUCAGAUAUCUCGAACGAAAAAUGGGCGUUUCAUGUUCGGUACGUUAAUCCCGAGACGUUAGAAGUUCACUCACAAUUAGUGAAAUUAAUUGAUGUGGAUACGGAAGAUGCUAGUGCAGAGAAAUUGUUUAAUGCAUUUAAAAAUGAAAUGCACAAGCUCGAAAUACCUUUUGCAAACAUUAUCGCUUUAUCGUGCAACCAUGCGUCGGUUAUGACCGGAAAACAUUUAUGCUUUAAGAAAAAAUUGAAGGAGAUGUGUAAAAGCGUUUUGACCUUAUCGUGUCCGUGUCAUUCUGCCGCAUUAGCUGCACACACUGCAUGUGCUAAGUUACCUGAGUCUUGUAAGAAGUUUGUGGAAGGUUUUGUACAAUAUAUUAAAAGUAGUCCCAAGCGAACGUCUAUUUUCCGCGAGUUUUCCGAGUGUUUUCAAGAAACAAACUACAAAAGUUUAAAGUUAUAUCACACGGGAUGGAUUUCUCACUACACGUAUAUCAAAAAACUUCUCGAAUCUUGGGACACCAUAAAGCAUUUUUUAAGCGAAGUUGUUAGAAAUGAAAAUACGAAAGCUGGGGAAAAUCUAAUGCUUUUAAUGCAAAAUGUAACAACAAAAGCAUAUUUGUUGUUUUUAAAACACGUUUUGCAUUUUUUCCAUAUAUUUAAUGAAUUUUUCCAAGUUGUAGAUACAAGAAUUCAUUUGUUACAGCCAAAAGCAAUAGAUUUUCUAACUGAAAUUGGUGAAAAUUUUUUAACAUCGACAGUUUUAAAAGAGUUGCCAAAUGUAACAUUUAGUAAAGUUGAAAAUCACAAAUUGCUAACUGAUAUUUGUUUAGGAACAAAAUGCGAAGAAUACCUUCGUCAAUUGAUGAAGGAUGGGCAUGCGAAGGAGAUUGCAACUGUUCGACAGAACUGCUUGCAAUUUUACGUUACCGUGGCCGAAGAAGUUUGUAAAAACUUACCGGUUAACAAUGUAUUUUUAUCGAAAUUAAAAAUUUUUCUACCGCACAUAGCUUUAAUGAAUUCUGACAGAGAAACAUCGUACAAUGAUCUUUUUCUCAUAGCCAAAACUAUCGGCGGUUUUGACGAAAAAUGUUUAAAAAGAGAAUGGUUUACGUUAAACUUAGAUUUUACGGUAACAGAGAAAAAAAAUUUCUUAGAAUUAACGUUUGACGACAUGUGGACACAAAUUUUGCAAAGGCGAUAUUCAACUAAUGAAAUAAAAUAUCCGAAUUUAAAAUGCCUUUUGAAUUCUAUUAGGUCACUUCCGAAUUCAAACGCCGAUCCGGAAAGGAUAAUGUUUUUCUUAACGGACAUUAAAACAAGAAAACGAAACAAAUUAUCGCCAGCCGCUGUAAAUGCUAUUUGUGUAUUGAAAUCGGCGUUAAAAUCAAGGGGGGAAACCGUUCUAAAUAUGAAGAUUAAUUCAAAACAUUUAUCUCUCAUGUCGUCAGACAAAUUAUAUGCUAAUGUUCCAAAAAAGCGAAAAAGUAGUCAUCUUCAACAAUGUGCUGCAGAUGAUGAUGCAGACGAUAUUGUUGUUGGCCCUUCUUCGUCUAACGAUGUAUAGUAAUAAUGUAAGAAAAAAAUUAAUUGUUUCUUGUCUUGUUUUUCUUUUUCAACGGCAAAACAGUGUCGUAGGGGUAAGUGGGGCAUGUUUGGACUUUGGACACUUAACUUUGAAUAUAGAUUAUGUUAUCAUUUAAUGUGGUAUGAUAACUUUCUCUGCACAUACAGUUUGUUACAUUUACAUUUUUGUGUGAGGUAGUAUAUAGAAAAUACGAUAAAGUUACAAACUUCUUUGUUUACAAGAAAUUACAACGCAAAGUUGGACUCACGCAGCUGUGAUAUUUUUCAACAAAACGACAAUGUAAUAUAUCGCUAUGCCAUGUUAUGUGUUUUAGCCCUAAGCCUGCGGGGUAUGUAUGUACGUGAUAACGCUGUAAGGGGAAAUAAGAUGAACUCGAAAAACUUUAGAUGGACUCGGAAACGUUUGAACUCUGAAUACGCUCGACGGUACACAGACUGCAAACGUUUCCGAGUUUAUCUGAAGUUUGUCGAGUUCGCCCGUUAUUUCCCCUUGCAUCAAUUAUUACAUCCCUUGUCUUUAGCAGUAGCUUACUUCAUUUAUGAUUUUCUUAAGUUCGUGACAUAAACGUGUCCGAAUGUGCUCCACUCUCCCCUAUAUAUAGCUAUGUAAAAAGAAAAAUAUAAUGUCUACAUGAGACAUCGUGCCGAAUCAGAAACAUAUUUGUCACAAGUGUGUAAAAAAUAGAGAAUAUUAUACAUAUAGGUUUAAGCUUUUCUCUCGGAUAAAAUAUAAGUUUGAUCGAUUCGUAAUAUUAUUUUUUUUUAGUAAAAUAAGUCUAGGGUAACUACUAAAAAAAGCGUCAACAAUAGUACCUAAGUAACAUAGAAAUUUAUUGUAAUAAUUUAUUGUAAUAACAAUAAUAGACUGAAUGGACAAAGUAGAAAUACGUGCAAAUGUGAGGCAUUAACAUACUGUUGUUAUAAAGCCAGAAUAGCAAUAUGAUGUGAAAGAUAAAUAGAAACGUGUAUAAUAAAUACACGUAUCUCAGACGAAUAUAACCACACGCGCGCAAAUGUUCACCCACUGACAUGCAAAAUACGUACAUGGACACAAAAAAUUGAGUACAUAAUAAUAAGGACCCAUGCACAGAUUAUCGCUUAAAAGAAAAUGUGCAAAAAGAGCGUAUAGAGCGUUGGAGGAUGCCUAUUCAGCUAUCGACAUCAAAUCACUAUUCAAAAAGCCGUAGACGUACAAAAUAUAUCAAUUGAACGGAAGGAUUUAAGAAGAAUAACAUCGUCAGCAUACAUAUAGAGUUUGGAGGGAAAAGGAAUAGGAGACAAGUCAGCAAUGAAAAUAUUAAAUAAUAAUGGACCAAGUAUGAAGUUUUGAGGCACAUCAGAUGGAACAGUAAGGCGAUAGGAAAGACUGGAAAGCGAAUUGUAUAAAAACUUGCUGGGAACGGUUCAUAAGGAAAGAUUGUAGAAAAGACAAGGCAAGAAGACUAGAAGAAUAAACUGCAGGACCUAAAUUUGGUGAGAAGAUUAUGAUUGACGAAAGCUUUAUCGAAGGCAAUCAACGAAGUAAGACAACUAGAAUCGAAACCCCUUAGCACGAGAUCUGACACGUGGAGAAGUUGUGAUGCUAUGUAGACCACGAAAUCCAGAGCGACAUUUUGGGAUAACGUUAGAGUGUAACCAGUAAAACGAACCAACAUAGCACAAAUUUUACGCCAGACGCCGGUACGCUUUACGCUGUUUCAUGAGACUUUACCCCGAGAAUAUUAUAAAGCUUAGCCGGAGUGAUAAAAGUAAAACUAAAGGAACAUUACAGGAUGAAGAGAUGAAAUAAUGUAUCGGAAGAGCAGGAAGAUAUGGGAAAGGAGUCAAGAAUAAAAUAAUCAUUCAUCAGCGCAAAAUUAAGAGGACAUGCAUGUGUAAGAUGUACGAAGAAAAAGAUCCGGUGCCAAGAAUAGAGAUAUUUCGCCAGAAUUGGCGAGGGAAAUUCACAGAGAGAGAUAUUUAUAACGCAGCUAAUUUGCAACGGACCAAGUUCUCCUGAAUCGGAGAAGAGCGCGACGUUUUAGGGAUAUGAGUCUCCUAACGGAAGAAUUUAGUGGGGCAGAAGGGCAGACGCAAGACACGCCUAAAGGCUAACGAGGCGAUAUGAUCUCAUACGUGUCUUCUUUUUGUGUGCGUAUUCUCGCUAUCCGAUUGUUGGGUGAACCACCUUAUUCUGGAGGACCACAGUGAACUCUAUACUAAACUGGAACGUGAUUGUGAACUCGAUUCACUCUGUUUUGGAAGAAAACGGGACGAGCGAGAGGAAGAAUUGCGACCAAUCCAUUUUUUCUGUUGCCGACUUUUCGAGAAUGAUUGAAUACCAAUGAUCCAUGGACGUAAGAAAACCUGGACGGAACGUAAGGGCAGCAUACUCGAAGAUUCGGACGAUAUUCCGACUUUAAAGCAAAGGCUCGGAUAACGCAUGGUUUCGUGUGAGCACGAAGGAAGUGGGUUCGAUCUUGACCUUCGUCCCAUAUGUUCCUCGAUUAAGAAGAGAAUUCUCUGUUUAAAUAGAAAAGAAUGUUGAUUUUUGUCACAUUGAACCUGGAGGGUCAUUAAACAGAAGAAGUAAGGGAAAAAGAAGUUAUAAGUGGUGGAAUCUCCGUUAAAGGGAGGAGAGAUUAAGAAAUUGAUCUCUCCCAUUUGCCCCCAUUUAAGAGAAGGAAAAGAGUUUAUGAAUGCCUUUGAAAUGCGUUUCCGCCUUUGUUUUGUAUCACGAGAGGGCACCUCCGAUCCUAUUGAGGUUCUCCUCUUGACUCUAGUAGUUUUUGUCAGUUAUAGUACCACGUGGUAUUUUGGCUCAAUGAGCUUCCCCCACUCCAGCUCUUUUCGUUCCUCCUUCCUUGCACACAUGGCGCACGCCGAGCUGAAUCAACAAACUGUGAAUUCGCCUAAGCAAACUAAUUUCAACAAAAUUGGUCGUCACUCCUGGCCGUAUUGACUUCUGAAAAGAGGCAGGUGCCAACAAAAGGGAAAAAGAAGGUUUCUUGAGCCAGAAAUCCAUUGAAGUCUUGGAAGAAGAAGAGCAAAGUUUGCGACAAACAUUCGAUUGUUCGCCUGUGAUAAAGGGCUGACAAAAU